AUAUCAAUAAGCGGAGGAAAAGAAACCAACAGGGAUUGCCUCAGUAACGGCGAGUGAAGCGGCAACAGCUCAAAUUUGAAAUCUGCCCGCAAGGGCCGAGUUGUAAUUUGUAGAGGAUGUUUUGGGUACCGCCGCGGUUUAAUUUUCUUGGAACAGGAAGCCAAAGAGGGUGAGAGUCCCGUCUUGGACCGCGGUAGGGCUCGUGUAAAACUCCUUCGACGAGUCGAGUUGUUUGGGAAUGCAGCUCAAAAUGGGUGGUAAAUUUCAUCUAAAGCUAAAUAUUGGCCAGAGACCGAUAGCGCACAAGUAGAGUGAUCGAAAGAUGAAAAGCACUUUGAAAAGAGAGUUAAACAGUAUGUGAAAUUGUUGAAAGGGAAGCGCUGGCAAUCAGACUUGAGCGCGGCGGUUCCCCCGGCCUUUUGGCCGGGCUACUCCGUCGCGUCCAGGCCAACAUCGGUUCUGAGGGUCGGUCAAAGGCCCCGGGAAUGUACCUACCCACGGGUAGACUUAUAGACCGGGGUGUCAUGCGGCCUCUCGGGACCGAGGAACGCGCUUCGGCUCGGAUGUUGGCGUAAUGGUUGUCAGCGA
rnacentral:rRNA from 1 species